rnacentral:lncRNA from 13 species
UGUUAAUGAGAUUUUUAUCUUUUUAUUCAUAAUGUCUUCAAAAUUCAGGAUGUAUUUUACACUCAGAACGAAUCUCCGUCUGAACUGGUCACAUUUCAAGUGCUCAAAAGCACAGAUGUAGCUGUCAUGUUGAACAGCACACUGCAGAUAGUUCCCAUUUGUAGUUGGGAAUUUGGCUUUGCAGAAGUCUGAGCCACCCUGAGUGAAUUCCAACAGGUUCUCAAGCAGCCCCUGGGAGAGCCCAGAAGAGGAGGAUUUGAAGCCUCCUGCCAGCAACAGUAUCAGGUAAUUGGAAGAAUUAGAAGAGCUACACGCACAGAAAAGAAGGCAACCACCAAGAAGAAGUGUUAUUCGGAAAGUAGGACUGAGAAAGGGAACAAUAAAAUGAAGUUAUUUUUUUCCUUAUGUUUUUGACUUUUUUUAAAGAGCAGUUUUAUGUUCACUGCAAAAUUGAGAGGAAGGUAUAGAGAUUCCCAUCUAUCCCCAUCCCACACAUGCGUAGCCUCCAC